AUAUUAAACUUUCACUCCAACUUUAUCUUUGUGUUUACAAUUCUUAAUUUUUUUGUCUUGGAUAAAGAACAAAAAACCUGGAGUACUUCUUCAGACAACAAGAAACUUCCAAAUUAAGGUGCAUUGGCAAGAAUGCAACAUAUUUUGAUCCAUUGGCUUGGAAGGAGGGAAUUCAUCAGAAGGGUCUACCCCAUGCUCUUGGAACCUCAAGAAGAGACAAGUUUACCCAACUCACAGUGCUCACUGCUGCAAAGAAGAACAAGCACACAGGCAAAAAGUUUUCCCAGCAAGAAUGCCAGGGUGAAAGGAAAGAUCAAUUGGACCAGAGCACAAGUGCUGCUCCAGUUACU
rnacentral:lncRNA from 1 species